AGCAGCCUGAAGCACAACGCCCGACGCACAAAGCCUGGCUGUCUUCCUGCCGCCACUGGAGUCCCUUCCUGCGAGUGAGCUGCUCGCCCUCUUCUUUCUCUGCUCUGGAUCUGCCACCACGAACUGAAGGGCCACUGGAGCUGGGGGGUCUACAGCCCUGAUUUACCAUUCCAGAGGUGGCCAAGGUUUUGUUGGUAUACACACGGCUCCUCCUUUCCACCAGCUGCCUAAGAACUUCACCUCAGCGGAGGGGAGUUGUACCUUUUCUGCCGGAACCUGAAGUUCUCAACUUUCCAGCGUACACAGUUGGGUGACCUCUUCUUCAUGAUCUCCGUUUUGCAAGCUCAGCAACCUCGUUAUCUGUCCUGCCCGGAUGGUCCCAGGCUUGUUGGCAUAUUGGGCCCCCUUUAUCAGAGUCCAUUUAGUGGAAGACUGUUCUCUAAGUACUGGAGACCUUGAGCGUGAACGGUAUCUUCUGGAUGGGGCUGCCCUUGCCCUUGAACGGUGAUAACCAUCUGACCUU